rnacentral:rRNA from 1 species
UACGUAGGGUGCAAGCGUUAAUCGGAAUUACUGGGCGUAAAGCGUGCGCAGGCGGUUGUGCAAGACCGAUGUGAAAUCCCCGGGCUCAACCUGGGAAUGGCAUUGGUGACUGUACGGCUAGAGUGUGUCAGAGGGGGGUAGAAUUCCACGUGUAGCAGUGAAAUGCGUAGAGAUGAUGGAGGAAUACCGAUGGCGAAGGCAGCCCCCUGGGAUAACACUGACGCUCAUGCACGAAAGCGUGGGGAGCAAACAGG